GAUGAACGCUAGCGGCAGGCCUAACACAUGCAAGUCGAGGGAGGAGCUUUCGGGCUUCGACCGGCGUACGGGUGCGUAACGCGUAUACAAUCUGCCUUUCACAUAGGGAUAGCCCGAAGAAAUUUGGAUUAAUACCUAAUGGUAUAUAGGAGUGGCAUCACAUUUAUAUUAAAGCUGAGGCGGUGAAAGAUGAGUAUGCGUUCUAUUAGCUAGUUGGAGAGGUAACGGCUCCCCAAGGCGACGAUAGAUAGGGGUUCUGAGAGGGAUAUCCCCCACACUGGUACUGAGAUACGGACCAGACUCCUACGGGCGGCAGCAGUGCGGAAUAUUGGACAAUGGUCGGAAGCCUGAUCCAGCCAUGCCGCGUGCAGGAAGACGGCCUUAUGGGUUGUAAACUGCUUUUGCAGGGGAAGAAUAAGGACUACGAGUAGUUUGAUGACGGUACUCUGCGAAUAAGCAUCGGCUAACUCCGUG
rnacentral:rRNA from 1 species